CUCAGAUUAUGUAUUAUUAUAGCACUACUGAUAAGGUCUUGAGUAGAGCCAUUAAAGAUGGGAACUGUAAGAUGGCCAGAAAAAGAGGUCUCAUGAUUUUUGCAUUGCUUCGCAAUGAAAAGGACCCAAUCCACCUGAUAGAAGGACAUUAUUAUACACUGGUGUCUACUCUGAACCAGUGUAUAAUAAUGAUGAGAACUGUAGACAAUAUUAUGUAGAGAGCACUACAAGAUGCCUGAAUAAAAGGCUGCAAGAGCAUAAAGCAGAUAUUCAUACGGGAAGACUAACAACGAUGCUUGCACUUAGCCUAUGAACAAGAUGUCAAUAUUAAGUGGGAUGAAAUGUGUAUAGUACAACCUUGAUCAGAUCCGAGAGGUGUUUCUACCCU
rnacentral:lncRNA from 1 species